UACGUAGGUGGCAAGCGUUGUCCGGAUUUAUUGGGCGUAAAGCGAGCGCAGGCGGUUCCUUAAGUCUGAUGUGAAAGCCCACGGCUCAACCGUGGAAGGUCAUUGGAAACUGGGGAAUUUGAGUGCAGAAGAGGAGAGUGGAAUUCCAUGUGUAGUGGUGAAAUGCGUAGAUAUCGAGAGGAACACCGGUGGCGAAGGCGGCUCUCUGGACAGAUACUGACGCUGAGGCUCUAAAGUUAGGGGAGCAAACAGGAUUAGAUA
rnacentral:rRNA from 1 species